AUGGGAGUUGUGUGUCCAGAAACUCAAAGGAGUCCUAGGGGUCUGGUGCCAAGGUCGUGGAGCAACAGCCUUCUGGAGGGAGACCUAGCCACACCCAGCGAGUUAGGGGCUGCCGUCCUUUCUGGGUGCCAACUUAGGAUCCAAAGGGAGUGUCUUCUCCCUCAUGCCUUCCUGACCCAUGUCCCUACAUCCUGUCCCCUGCUCCCCAGAAGCAUCCAACUUUGUGGCCGUCCUGUUGGGGAUGCUUGUGCCUGUGGUGGUUCUAGUGCCCGCAGUGACCAGAGAAUGUGUUUCCAGGAAGAGGAGGAGGAGGGAGAAAACGCAGAGCCAGAGUAGAGACAGGCUGGCAGACGCUGGUGAGAACCAUUCCCACCCCAGAACCUUGGCGACCGGGAGCUGAGUCUGCCUCUGAUACAGGUUUUCUCGGAUUUUGUUCCAGAGCGUGCCCUUCAAGUCAGUUUUGAGUUGUCCUCAAAAAAGGAGAGAGGAAAUAAAAUUUAUUUUUGAAAUGUGAAUUUCCACAUGACUGUGGUGGAGGAAGGGUCUGUGAGGUGGGUCUUGGGGGUGAAACAGGAGGGAGGGACAGAGGUGUGCGGGCGGUGGGGGGAGACUAGGGCUGCGUGCCCUGCAGAAAAUGUCCAGAGGGGAGGGGAACCGAGGUCUGGCUGUUCUUUGGACAAAGCCGUUUGGGGGUGGCGUCUAGCCCUUUGGCUCCUGGGGAACCGGAGGAAAGACUUGCACUGUCCGUCUUCGCAGGAAUCUAGGGCUAGCGGAAGGUGAUGCUGAGGAUUCUGAUAUUUCUAACGAUGAGAUUAAUCACUGGAUGCGGGCUAAGGAUGGGGAAUGUGGCUUCUUUGAAAGGGCAGACUGCCUGUGACCCUCGGGAGGCCUCCAUCUUCUGCACAAGUCUAUUUCCCAAAAUGGCCUAGGGGUUACUAUGGCAACUGAAGGUGGGGUCUGGGGGCCCAGGAGUUCAGAGCCCCAUCCUAGCAAGAGUGGUCAGCUCACCUCAGCCUGAGGCCAAAGGGCAACUGUUCUGACCCCUCCUCCCAGGGUCCCGUGCCUCCCAUGAGGCAGGUCCCUGCUUGGGGGUGGAGGCUGGGACAAUCCUGCUUGGGCCCCAAGAAGGAAAGGAAGGCCAUCAGCUGGGGUGAGGGUGGUCAGGAUGGAAGACCCCAAGGGACAGGGGAUGCCAAAGCGGGCAGGACACUGGGUUCUGUGCUUAUUCUCUGAGAUGACCCUUGCAGCCACCUACGUUUAAGGGAUCGAGAUCCCAGCUGGGUGGGGAAGGGCCCCCCGGGGGGGGGUGGCCCCCUACCAGGCUAGCUGCGGGGAGCAGCUCCCCGCUCCGGAGCUGGGCAUAGCAGGAGCGCUAACGGGAUUCCAGGAGUUUUAGCCUGGGCUUCAUGGGGCUCCCUGCUGCACACUGGCCCCCACUGGAGCUCCCUUCAUCUCAUCUUUGAUCUUCUGCCUCUGUUAUUCAUCUGUGCCCUGUCCUCUUGACCUCUGCUCCUCCCCUCGGACAACUAAGGUCACUUAUCUAGCCCAGAUGUCUGGUUGGCAGGGGAAGGAGGUGGCCUGGGCCGGCAUCCUCCGGAUAGACCCCCUCCAUCUUUGGCAGGACAGAGUCCCUCCCAGACCCCUCGGGUGGGCAAAACAGGGGUGAGGGUCAUUGAGGGAGGGGACAGAGGAUUCCAGAGUAUUAGGGAUUCCAGAAGAGGCUGGUACAGGUAGGAAAUUGCAGAUAGGAUCUGAGGUUCCCCGAGCUGGGAAGGGCAGAAGCUGUGAUUUGGGGUCCUGCACACAACAGGGGCAACCGAAGCAGAAACAGCAAGGCUGCCCCAGCUAAACAGCGCUGGCCCCUGCAGGUGUCCCUGGGGUUGGGCGGAUUGGAAGGGAAGGAACAGAAGACGGCCACAAAGACUCGCAGGGGCUUGACCCCAUUACCGUCUUCCUGUUUAGGAGGGAGAAGUUGGGGGAAGACACUCAGGUGGUUUCCCCUCCCCUUCCCAAGAGGCUGGGAGAACCUGCCUGGGCAGCACCUUGAAAGGGGGAAUUGUCUUCCCAAGGACUCAGCCUGGAGUGUGUGACUGUGUGUGUGUGUGUGUACCCGUGGGGGGUCCACAUCCCUCACUCCAGCUCCCUGCCCCUCCCCCACAGCCCAUGCAGACUCUUCCCCCCAUUGCCUCUAAACCAACCCCAGCUGUCAACAUCUGGCCCACAUCUGUCUCCAUCUGAGUGGACCCUCACCCCAGCCGAUGCCCCCCCCCCAGUCAUGGGGUCGCAGGGCAGGGCUUUAAGCUCAAGGCCUUCCCGGCCUCCCCUGGCCCCCUACCAGGGCUGGGGAACCAGGACAGGGGAGGGAGGGAGCAGCCCCACCCCGGAGGUGCCCCAGGCUCUUGGCAGAGCCAUCUGGAGCCGUUAGAAGCAGCUGCCAAUGACUCAUCUCCCACUGCCCCCACCCCACCACCUCAAACACACCCUGGGACCGGGAACCAAGCCCGCAGCCCCCCACAGCCCUGUCUCCAGACCUCCGACCCCUCCUCCCUACCCAGUCUCCGCAGAAACCUAGUCCAUCCCCCACUCCCAAUCACCCCCAGGACUGCAACGCUUCCCAUUUUCUUUUAUUUAUACAAAAAAAAAUUGUUUUAAAUAUAAUUUAAGAACCCCUCCAAGCACCGGUGUCUGUCUCUGGUUUCCACCACCACCUCACCCCCCCACACCCCCUCAUGGACACAGCUUGGGGCUACUUGGGGGCAGGAAAGUGUCUGGGAGUUGUGGUGGGACCAAGGCACUG
ensembl:lncRNA